GACGAACGCUGGCGGCGUGCCUAAUACAUGCAAGUAGAACGCUGAAGAGAGGAGCUUACUCUUCUUGGAUGAGUUGCGAACGGGUGAGUAACGCGUAGGUAACCUGCCUUGUAGCGGGGGAUAACUAUUGGAAACGAUAUCUAAUACCGCAUAACAAUGGAUGACACAUGUCAUUUAUUUGAAAGGGGCAAUUGCUCCACUACAAGAUGGACCCGCGUUGUAUUAGCUAGUAGGUGAGGUAAUGGCUCACCUAGGCGACGAUACAUAGCCGACCUGAGAGGGUGAUCGGCCACACUGGGACUGAGACACGGCCCAGACUCCUACGGGAGGCAGCAGUAGGGAAUCUUCGGCAAUGGGGGCAACCCUGACCGAGCAACGCCGCGUGAGUGAAGAAGGUUUUCGGAUCGUAAAGCUCUGUUGUAAGUCAAGAACGGGUGUGAGAGUGGAAAGUUCACACUGUGACGGUAGCUUACCAGAAAGGGACGGCUAACUACGUG
rnacentral:rRNA from 1 species